rnacentral:rRNA from 1 species
AUUGAACGCUGGCGGCAGGCCUAACACAUGCAAGUCGAACGAGUGGCGGACGGGUGAGUAAUGUCUGGGAACCUGCCCGAUGGAGGGGGAUACCUACUGGAAACGGUAGCUAAUCCCGCAUACCAUCGGAUGUGCCCAGAUGGGAUUAGCUAGUGGGGGGGGUAACGGCUCACCUGGGCGACGAUCCCAAGCUGGUCUGAGAGGGUGACCGGCCACACGGGAACUGAGAAACGGUCCAGACUCCUACGGGAGGAAGCAGUGGGAAUUAUUGCACAAUGGGCGCAAGCCUGAUGAGGCCAUGCCGCGUGUAUGAAGAAGGCCUUCGGGUUGUAAAGUACUUUCAGCGAGGAGGCGUUACUCGCAGAAGAAGCACCGGCUAACUCCGUGCCAGCAGCCGCGGUAAUAC